CGGCAUUCCGAGCAUUACCCCCAAAAUGAGAGGGUGGUGAGAGGGAUACAGAUGGGGCCUUGUAAACUAUGGGUACAACAGCGACAGGAGGGGCUGGAGGAGGCCAUUGAUCCUCCGACUGGAGGUGAGCAGUAAGAGCCAACAAUGUCUGAAAGGCCUGGGCGAAUUGAUCCAUAUGGUGAUCAUUUUCUUCCAGCCUUCUUUCACAAGCCAACAUGUGUUGACUUAACUCUGCAGGGUCCACAACCCUGUCAUAAUGUCAGGACGAACCUGUGGCCCAACACGCAGAAGUAUGGAACACGG